GGAGAGAUGCAGGAGUGGUUGAACUGGCCGCUCUCGAAAAGCGGUAAGGUGAAAGCCUUCGAGGGUUCGAAUCCCUCUCUCUCCGCCA
rnacentral:tRNA from 2 species